GGAGGGAGCAGCAGCAGCAGCAGCCGGACUCCUCCGGGGGGGGGGGGGAAGCGUGAGGUGCCGCCGCCGUUCAGCUGACAGGAGUUCCUGCCGGGGAGGGAGGGAGGGGGGAAGGAGCGAGCGGAGGAGGGAGGGGAGAGGAGGACGUAUAGAGAGAGUCUCUUGCGUGAGGAAGGCUCGCGCGCCGCGGAGUGGCGGGAACGGCGCGCGGAGCUGAGGCGAGGCGAAUUGCUGUCCUCAGGUUGGAAAAGCAUUUCUAUUAAAAGACAAAGAAUGGCAUUCCUGCCUCCUCAUCUCUCAUUUAACUGGACCUUUGUUUUCCAUUGCUGCGUGGAAAUACCAAGACUGAGAUGACUCCGAACAGAACCAGACAAGGGAGAGGAUUCUUCUAGAAGAAUCUCUAGUUGAGACAUGGCAGCAGUGUUCCUAUAUCUCAGGGACUGCCACAAAGAAGAGGGAGUCAAGCUAUUCUCCAAAGCACCUGAGAACAAGAAGCAA